rnacentral:rRNA from 1 species
UUGUGGUUAAAAAGCUCGUAGUUGGAUCUCGGCAGGCUUGGGGCGGUUUGCUUGCUAGUAUUACUGCCCUAUAGUCUGUAGUUUUGCCAGAGGUUUUAGGGUGCUCUUAAUCGAGUGUCCUGGGAUGCUGGCAGGUUUACUUUGAAAAAAUUAGAGUGCUCAAAGCAGGCUUUUACGCCUGAAUAUUCGUGCAUGGAAUAAUAGAAUAGGAAGUCGUUUCUAUUCUGUUGGUUUUCGGAAAUCGACUUAAUGAUUAAUAGGGACAGUCGGGGGCAUUUGUAUUCAAACGACAGAGGUGAAAUUCUUGGACCGUUUGAAGACAAACUACUGCGAAAGCAUUUGCCAAGAAUGUUUUCAUCAAUCAAGAACGAAAGUUAAAGGUUCGAAGGCGAUUAGAUACCGCCCUAGUUUUAACCAUAAACGAUGCCAGCUAGCGAUCUGCGGACGUUUUUUUUGUAGACUCCGCAGGAAGCUUCCGGGAAACCAAAGCAUUUGGGUUCCAGGGGAAGUAUGGUUGCAAAGCUGAAACUUAAAGGAAUUGACGGAAGGGCACCACCAGGAGUGGAGCCUGUGGCUUAAUUGACUCAACACG